AUCAACUUUCGAUGGUAGGAUAGAGGCCUACCAUGGUGGUAACGGGUAACGGGGUGUUAGGGCACGACACCGGAGAGGGAGCCUGAGAAACGGCUACCACAUCCAAGGAUGGCAGCAGGCGCGCAAAUUACCCAAUCCCGACACGGGGAGGUAGUGACAAUAAAUAACAAUACGGGGCUCUUUAGGGUCUCGUAAUUGGAAUGAGUACAAUUUAAAUCUCUUAACGAGGAACAAUUGGAGGGCAAGUCUGGUGCCAGCAGCCGCGGUAAUUCCAGCUCCAAUAGCGUAUAUUAAAGUUGUUGCAGUUAAAAAGCUCGUAGUUGAAUUUCGGGGUCAGCAGGUUGGUCGUGCCUCUGGUAUGCACUGGUUUCGCUGAUUCCUCCUUUCUGAAGAACUGUAAUGUCAUUAAUUUGGUGUUGCAGGGAAACAGGACUGUUACUUUGAAAAAAUUAGAGUGUUUAAAGCAGGCUAACGCUUGAAUACAUUAGCAUGGAAUAAUGAAAUAGGACGUUUGAUCCUAUUUUGUUGGUUUCUAGGAUUGACGUAAUGAUUAAUAGGGAUAGUUGGGGGCAUUAGUAUUCAAUUGUCAGAGGUGAAAUUCUUGGAUUUAUUGAAGACUAACUACUGCGAAAGCAUUUGCCAAGGAUGUUUUCAUUAAUCAAGAACGAAAGUUAGGGGAUCGAAGACGAUCAGAUACCGUCGUAGUCUUAACCAUAAACUAUGCCGACUAGGGAUCGGAUGAUGUUAAUUUUUUAAUGACUCAUUCGGCGCCUUACGGGAAACCAAAGUGUUUGGGUUC
rnacentral:rRNA from 1 species